rnacentral:rRNA from 1 species
GAUGAACGCUAACGGCAGGCCUAAUACAUGCAAGUCGGACGGGAUUCAGGAGCUUGCUUCUGAUGAGAGUGGCGCACGGGUGCGUAACACGUAUGUAACCUACCUUUAUCAGGGGGAUAGCCUCUCGAAAGAGAGAUUAAGCCCGCAUAAAAUCACAGCACAGCAUUGUGUAAUGAUCAAAUAUUUAUAGGAUAAAGAUGGGCAUGCGGAACAUUAGCUAGAUGGCGGGGUAACGGCCCACCAUGGCGACGAUGUUUAGGGGAUCUGAGAGGAUGGCCCCCCACACUGGUACUGAGACACGGACCAGACUCCUACGGGAGGCAGCAGUAAGGAAUAUUGGUCAAUGGGCGGAAGCCUGAACCAGCCAUGCCGCGUGCAGGAAGACGGCCCUACGGGUUGUAAACUGCUUUUAUACGGGAAUAAACCCAGAUACGUGUAUCUGGCUGAAUGUACUGUAAGAAUAAGGAUCGGCUAACUCCGUG